UUUUAAUUCCUUAGAGGGUUUUAGUCCCGUGAAAAAUAAUUUUUUAACGUUAUGAAAUGUUUAGACUGGUUUUAGCUUGUUCUAAUCGAUUUUAGCAGUACCACCUGCUUAGCCUAAAUUAGCAUUUUGAUCGAUAGUGUAACAGUACCGCGAGGGAAAGGUGAAAAGAACCCUACAGGUUGGGAGUGAAAAAGAUUUUGAAAUUAAAGGAUCAUAAGCAAUCAAAUUUAAAAAUUUGGUGUACCUUUUGCAUAAUGGGUCAGCAACUUGUUUCUCGUAGUGAGUUUAAAUUUUUUUUAGACGUAUUUAACAAGGUUUAUAAUUACGGGAAGCAGACCCGAAGCCAAGCGAUCUAACCUCGAUCAGGCUGAAGUUUUAACCGACGGAGGGCCGAACUCGUGUAUGUUGCAAAAUGCUGAGAUGAAUUGAGGUUAGGGGUGAAAGGCUAAUCAAGCUUGGUUAUAGCUGGUUUUCGGCGAAAUUUAUUCAGGUAAAGAGCUGUUUAUUCCUAGUCGGGUAAGGUAACGUUAUAUGUUUGGGGGAAGUAAAAUUCUUACUGGCUAUACUAAAUCUCUGAAUAGACUAUGGUGCGUUUAGCAAUUAACAGUAUUCAGAAAGUGGGUGCGAAGGUCCAUUUUCGAGAGGGAAAUAGCCCUGAUUAGUAGCUAAAGUCUUUAAAUUUUACAUAAGUGUCGUUAAAGUUUUUGGUAAUCUAAGAUAAUCAAGAGGUGGGCUUGGAAACAGCCGUCCUAUAAUGAAAACGUAAUAGUUCAAUGAUUGAUGGUUUACCAAGAACGACAAUGUACGAGACUCAAUGAAAUUGCUGAAGCUCUAAAGUUUUAAAACUGGUAGCCGAAAUAGAACAAAUGUAACAACUGUUGUUCUGGAUAAUGCUGGCAUGAGUAACUAAAUAAUUUUUAUUAUCACCGUAUACCUAAGGUUUCUUUGCCAAGGAUUUACCUGCAAAGGUUAGUCAGCCCCUAAGUUAAUUUCUUAAAUGAUAUUCGAUGGGUUAAAAGUUAAUAUUCUUUUACUGGCUUUUUGUGCUAAGUAGCAUUUAGCAAAAACUGUACUAAAACCGACACAGGUGGGUUGGUAUAAGCGUACCAAGGUGUUCGAACUAAUAGUCUUGAAGGAACUCGGCAAAUUUACUCCGUAACUUCGGGAUAAGGAGAGCCUUUACUUUCGUAAAGGUAACAUAAAAUUGGGGGUGGCGACUGUUUAUUAAAAACACAGGACUCUGCUAAAUCGAAAGAUGAGGUAUAGGGUCUGAGACCUGCCCAGUGCUGAUAAGUUAACCCUACUGGUUUACGCUAGUAGCAUAAGCUCCAGUAAACGGCAGCUGUAACUCUGACGGUUCUAAGGUAGCGAAAUCCCUUGUCGGGUAAGUUCCGACCUGCAUGAAUGGUAUAACGACUGCCCCACUGUCUCCAAGACUAAUUCGGUGAAAUUGAAUUCUUCGUGCAGAUGCGAAGUUAUGAGCAGCAAGACGGGAAGACCCUGUGCACCUUCACUGCAUUUUUUUGUUGUUGUAAAUUUUCGGAUUCGUAGCAUAAGUAGUAGCUUAUGAUUCCAGAAUUUCGAUUUUGAGAUAAAGCGUCCCUGAAAUACUGCUAGUCUCGGAAAUUUAUGACUAAUUACAUGAAAACGUAUGAUUGGUAGUUUGGCUGGGGUGGCCGCCUCCUAAAGAGUAACGGAGGUGCGCGAAGGUAAGCUUCUUAAAACUUGUUUUAAGAUAAGCGUAACGGCAAUGCUUGCCUGACUGUUAAACGGAUAGGUUUAGCAGAGACUUAAGUGUCGGUCGUAAUGAUCCGGUAGCUCUAUGUGGAAAGGCUAUCGCUUAUCGGAUAAAAGGUACGCCAGGGAUAACAGGCUAAUGAUUCUUUAGAGCUCUUAUCGACGGAAUCGUUUGGCACCUCGAUGUCGGCCCAUCGCAUCCUGGGGCUGUAGGCGGUCCCAAGGGUUCGGCUGUUCGCCGAUUAAAGCGGUACGCGAGCUGGGUUUAGAACGUC
rnacentral:rRNA from 1 species